UCACACGCAGCAACACAGGCGCACCCUUCACUCAGAGCCUUCAUAUGAAACGUAGUUGGCCACCGCAGCACCGCGAAGGGUUCGUUCAGGAACAGCGACCCUUUAAAGUAUGGCUGGACCAACGAAAAACACAGGGGGUGGAGAUUCCAUGAAGAGAAAUGGUGGAAGAGGUGACAACAACUCUUUCAGGGGAGAGUCGAGGGCCAGUAGUGAGUGUAGAAAUAGCAGAGUAAAAGGAGGAGGAGAGCACAGUGGGGGGGAAGACGGCACGGCUGCUACAGGGAGAGCUGGACCAUGGGAGGACAGAGGAGGGAUAGGAGGAAGAAGAGGAGGUUGGAGGGAUCAAAGACGCCCUGAUGUGAGUCAAGUAGGCAGAGGACAAGGGAGAGGGACAAGUUGGGGAGGAGGUAGAUCAUGGAGGGGAGGAGACGCCAGAGGCGGCAGGGGGGGCAGGCGUGGUGGGGUGGCCCCUGGAGCCGCAGAUUUCGCACGACAUGCAGCAAGAGAGAGAAGCAGGAGUUUGACGGGCACAGCGCCAGCUGAUCAGAGAGAUCAGAGCGCCAGAGGGGGUCGAUGUGGUAGUCGGGGUAGGGG